rnacentral:lncRNA from 1 species
AGUUUGUGUCUCCUCUCCCUCGUCAAGACACAACAGUCAGCAUUAGCCUUUCAAUGUCCUAAAAUCCAGCGCUUCUAAAGUAAUGGAUAGUUAACCGCCGUCGCCAAGAUUGGAAACAAACCAAAUGUCAAGGAUAUAUUUUAAGGACUCUGGCAUCAUUAAGUACACUCUCGUUAGUUGUUGAUAGAGCAGUCCCCCCCAUUUUCGACUUUCCAAUGCACUUUAAAAAAGGGGAGUCCCAUCGACGAACCUUAAAACGAAGAACUUAUGAAUUAAAAAAAAGUACUAUAAGUAUGUAUUGAAAAAAGGCCAACUGUAAGUAUAGUCAUUACUCAUACAUAUGCCCUACCUAGUACUAUAGAAUCCUUGGGGAUAGUGAAAAAAUAGAGCAAAAAGAGACAUCCUGAAAUCAAGAUAGCAGUUAUAUUUGAUAGUUGCCAUAUCUUUUUCAGUUCAAGAAUCAAUAAUUUGAAAAAUAUCAAUAAUAUGUUGAAAGACUUAAUUUUAUUAGUAUUUAAUAUUUUGUAGAAUAAAUGAUACUUCAUUGAUGGCAUGUUUAUUUGCCUUAGAUAUUCUAUAACAUUUUUUAUAAAAAUUAGUAUUUACGAGAACAAAUAUUAGUAAUUUAUAAGAAAAAAUCAAUAAAGAAAAUGUUCUUCAUAAUAUUGUUAUAAGCUUCAUGCGUUUCAAAGCAAAUUUAAACACCAAUCGUGGAGAUUCCUUUAAGAGAUCACACUCCUUCCUAAGAGUGAAAAUUGACAUAGAUGAAUUAUUUUAACAAUAGCAAUGAAAUAUUUCGCAUUUUACAGAUUUUAUAUUUAUACAUGCCAUUUUGAUAAGAGGAAAAUUUGAACUAAGUUGAGUACCCUCAUUAUCCAUUAGGCCCCAAAAUCACAUUAUUAAGUAAGACGAAACGGCUAUUUACUAUAAGUAUACUUAGUAUAUAAUAUUUGAAUGUUUUGAUCCUUUUGUUGUUUGUAUUCAUCAGCUGUCUCUCCCUUCAAUUUUUUCCUUAAGUAAACACUAGCUAUAUUUUUAAUCUCUAUGUAUUCGAUCUUUUGACGUCAUCACAUAACAUCCUUGGCCUUCUUUUCUUCUUUUUUUUCAUAGCUAGAGAUAGCAAUAUAAUUUAUUAACUUAUUGUUCAUACAAGCAUGGUGAUGAAGAACCUUUUCCUGUUGGGGCUUACACAUUUUGUAAAAACAUUAAGCUCAAAAUUAUUUUGAGCGUAGUAAUAAGAAGAGAGAGGGAAGACCAGGGUGGCUUUAACUUAUUAGUACAAUUGAUACUAUUGUAGUAAUAGUAUAUGUAAAAAAAAAUUAUCUUAUUUGCUCUCAAAUUGCUUCCUAUAAUUUUGGCUACAUAUCAAAAACGAGUGUUAUAUUUUUUAUUAAUACAUAUGAAUUUUUUUCAGGUCAACGGUCACUACUCAUUCCAUUCAAUGAUUUCAGCUCUUAUUGAUUUUUAACCUAUGCAUGAAGGAGAUAAUAUUAUUAAUGAAAAUACAAUAUUAACAUGUUAAAAUAAUAUGUAUUCGAAGUAGCAUUUUGCAUUAUUGAUGUGGAAAGAACUUAAAAGAAAUCUAACAAACUUGUGAAGGAAAAAAAUUAAACACAAUUCAUGUAGAAGAACUAGGUACUGACAAAAGUUGGACUCAUUGAAUCAACAAUUAAAUCAAUAGAGCGUCUUGAAUGCCAUCAUAAUUGAAGGAGACACCAUCUUUGGGGCUCAAAGUUGAUAUUUUACAACAUAAACAAUGGGUUAGUUGUUUCAUCAAUCCUCAUUUAUGUGCCUAGGAUAAACAGAGUUUGAGAAGAUCUAGAACCUAACUUUUGUUGAUAAAUUUUUCCAGUAUUGAAUUAAUAACGCUUUAAUUAAUACAAGGUAACUACUUAGUUCUAAAAUCUUUUGGAAUAAACAAUUUGUUUCUUUUUUUUAAAUUUUAUUAUUAUUAAUCAAAAUCUAUUGUGUAUAUAUUUCAAUUUUGAUACAACAAUGAAUUAAACGUAAUUAUCAUCGUUAUUUCAAAUAUAUCAACUA